rnacentral:misc_RNA from 1 species
UUUCCGUAGGUGAACCUGCGGAAGGAUCAUUACUGAGUGUGGGACCUCUGAGUCCAACCUCCCACCCGUGUUUAUUGUACCUUGUUGCUUCGGUGGGCCCGCCUCACGGCCGCCGGGGGGCAUCUGCCCCCGGGCCCGCGCUCGCCGAAGGCACCCUUGAACUCUGUCUGAAGUUCGCAGUCUGAGCGAAAACUAAAUAAGUUAAAACUUUCAACAACGGAUCUCUUGGUUCUG